CAAAGAAUGCCCAAGCCGUCCUAUGUACUUACCCGGUCGCCAGCGAUCCCACGCCUGUCAGCCCAGGGAGUCCCCCUCCUUCCUUUCCGGCCCCCCUGAGCCAUGUGAUCGCGAGGUCCUAUCAACUUUCAAUGGUACUUUCUGGGCCUAUCAUGGUGACCACGGGUAACGGGGAAUCAGAAUUCGAUUCCGGAGAGGGAGCCUGAGAAAGGGCUACCACAUCCAAGGAAGGCAGCAGGCGCGCAAAUUAGCCACUCCCGACGCAGGAAGGUAGUGAUG